GACGAACGCUGGCGGCGUGCUUAACACAUGCAAGUCGAACGGAAAGGCCCUGCUUUUGUGGGGUGCUCGAGUGGCGAACGGGUGAGUAACACGUGAGUAACCUGCCCUUGACUUUGGGAUAACUUCAGGAAACUGGGGCUAAUACCGGAUAGGAGCUCCUGCUGCAUGGUGGGGGUUGGAAAGUUUCGGCGGUUGGGGAUGGACUCGCGGCUUAUCAGCUUGUUGGUGGGGUAGUGGCUUACCAAGGCUUUGACGGGUAGCCGGCCUGAGAGGGUGACCGGCCACAUGGGGACUGAGAUACGGCCCAGACGCCUACGGGAGGCAGCAGGGGGGAAUAUUGCACAAUGGGCGGAAGCCUGAUGCAGCAACGCCGCGUGCGGGAUGACGGCCUUCGGGUUGUAAACCGCUUUCGCCUGUGACGAAGCGUGAGUGACGGUAAUGGGUAAAGAAGCACCGGCUAACUACGUG
rnacentral:rRNA from 1 species